rnacentral:lncRNA from 1 species
GCGGCAAGUCUACUGCGGGCUGGUCCGGGCUCCUCAGGUUCAGACCCGACCGUUAUCCAGUCGGUUCGUGGAGAGGAGAGUGUAUGUGGUAGAAGACCAAAGAAGAGAUGAGCUAGGACCAUCCACCUGCCUCACAGCCUGCUGGACGGCUCUCUGUUGCUGCUGUCUCUGGGACAUGCUCACCUGACCAGACCAGCCCAGCCGUCCUGUCCUGCCAGCUCUGCUGCCACCUCUGACAGGUGUGCCUGCCCCCAUCUCUUCUGAUUGCUGUUAACAAAUGACUAGCUUUGCACAGACACCUCUACCUUCAGCACUAUGGGAUUCUAGAUUAAUGGGGGUUGCUACUGUUUAAUUCAGUGACUUGAUCUUUUUAAUGUCCAAAAUCCAUUUCUUAUUGAUCUUUAAAGAUGUGCUAAAUGACUUUUUUGGCCAAAGGCUUAGUUGUGAAAAAUAUAAUUUUUAAAUUAUACAUUCAAGGUAGUGGCCAAAUGUAACACAUCAAUCAUGGAAUGAUUUCUCUGCUAACAGCCGCCUGUAUGUUUCAAUAAAUUUGUCCAAAGCUC